rnacentral:ncRNA from 1 species
AACCGGGGUGCUUUAAUUAAGGCUGAGAUUAUACCCGUAGAACUUCGUAUGAGGUUCCAACCUGAUCCGGAUAAUGCCGGCGGAGGAAGAUAUGAA